CUCACUGCAAACACCAGCUCAGAUCCUUUGUUCCUCUGACACUUCAUCCUAGUUGCCAUGUACCUUGUGCUUUGGAAUCUGAAUCUGCCUGCCUACCAACACCUCCCUAUUCAGGAAGUGCUCCUGUCUACAGCUAACUGGGCGUACCUGCAGUUAGGACAUGUGGCCUGCUCCUCCUUGAGACGAGAGUCAGCCAGGAGGUGGAUGAAACAGCCUGCACACAUCAGGUGUCCAUUGGUACACUGUGGUGGGGAAAAAGGUUUACUGAACUCUUUUUCUCCCUCGCUGCUGGUGUGUCCUGGUGUUUUGUUCAUCACUGUUUCUGCUGCAUUGAUCUGAGCGAGCCUCUGGGCUGGUCUCAACUUGUCUGGUCCUGCUCCAGUAUCUGUUGUCUC